AGUUUGAUCCUGGCUCAGGAUGAACGCUGGCGGCGUGCCUAACACAUGCAAGUCGAGCGAUUCUCUUCGGAGAAGAGCGGCGGACGGGUGAGUAACGCGUGGGUAACUGCCCUGUACACACGGAUAACAUACCGAAAGGUAUGCUAAUACGGGAUAACAUAUUUUGAUGGCAUCAUCGAAAUAUCAAAGCUCCGGCGGUACAGGAUGGACCCGCGUCUGAUUAGCUAGUUGGUGAGGUAAUGGCUCACCAAGGCGACGAUCAGUAGCCGACCUGAGAGGGUGAUCGGCCACAUUGGAACUGAGACACGGUCCAAACUCCUACGGGAGGCAGCAGUGGGGAAUAUUGCACAAUGGGCGAAAGCCUGAUGCAGCAACGCCGCGUGAGCGAUGAAGGCCUUCGGGUCGUAAAGCUCUGUCCUCAAGGAAGAUAAUGACGGUACUUGAGGAGGAAGCCCCGGCUAACUACGUGCCAGCAGCCGCGGUAAUACGUAGGGGGCUAGCGUUAUCCGGAAUUACUGGGCGUAAAGGGUGCGUAGGUGGUUUUUUAAGUCAGAAGUGAAAGGCUACGGCUCAACCGUAGUAAGCUUUUGAAACUGAGAAACUUGAGUGCAGGAGAGGAGAGUAGAAUUCCUAGUGUAGCGGUGAAAUGCGUAGAUAUUAGGAGGAAUACCAGUUGCGAAGGCGGCUCUCUGGACUGUAACUGACACUGAGGCACGAAAGCGUGGGGAGCAAACAGGAUUAGAUACCCUGGUAGUCCACGCCGUAAACGAUGAGUACUAGGUGUCGGGGGUUACCCCCCUCGGUGCCGCAGCUAACGCAUUAAGUACUCCGCCUGGGAAGUACGCUCGCAAGAGUGAAACUCAAAUGAAUUGACGG
rnacentral:rRNA from 1 species